UCGAACGAAGUACAAUACUUAGUGGCAGACGGGUGAGUAACAUGUGGGUAUCUGCCCUUUGGCCUGGAAUAACACGAGGAAACUUGUGCUAAUACUGGAUAAGUCUUUACGGAGAAAGCUUUAUGCACCAUUGGAUGAGCCCGCACUUGAUUAGUUUGUUGGUGGGGUAAUGGCCUACCAAGACUUUGAUCAAUAGCUGAUUUGAGAGGAUGAUCAGCCACAUUGGGACUGAGACACGGCCCAAACUCCUACGGGAGGCAGCAGUGGGGAAUCUUGCACAAUGGAGGAAACUCUGAUGCGGCGAUGCCGCGUGAGUGAAGAAGGCCCUUGGGUUGUAAAGCUCUUUCGUCGGGGAAGAAAAUGACUGUACCCGAAUAAGAAGGUCCGGCUAACUUCGUGCCAGCAGCCGCGGCAAUACGAAGGGACCUAGCGUAGUUCGGAAUUACUGGGCUUAAAGAGUUCGUAGGUGGUUGAAAAAGUUGGUGGUGAAAUCCCAGAGCUUAACUCUGGAACUGCCAUCAAAACUUUUCAGCUAGAGUUUGAUAGAGGAAAGCAGAAUUUCUAGUGUAGAGGUGAAAUUCGUAGAUAUUAGAAAGAAUACCAAUUGCGAAGGCAGCUUUCUGGAUCAAUACUGACACUGAGGAACGAAAGCAUGGGUAGCGAAGAGGAUUAGAUACCCUCGUAGUCCAUGCCGUAAACGAUGUGUGUUAGACGUUGGAAAUUUAUUUUCAGUGUCGCAGCGAAAGCGAUAAACACACCGCCUGGGGAGUACGACCGCAAGGUUAAAACUCAAAU
rnacentral:rRNA from 1 species